rnacentral:rRNA from 1 species
UACGAAGGGGGCUAGCGUUGCUCGGAAUCACUGGGCGUAAAGGGUGCGUAGGCGGGUCUUUAAGUCAGGGGUGAAAUCCUGGAGCUCAACUCCAGAACUGCCUUUGAUACUGAGGAUCUCGAGUCCGGGAGAGGUGAGUGGAACUGCGAGUGUAGAGGUGAAAUUCGUAGAUAUUCGCAAGAACACCAGUGGCGAAGGCGGCUCACUGGCCCGGUACUGACGCUGAGGUGCGAAAGCGUGGGGAGCAAACAGGG